rnacentral:misc_RNA from 1 species
UAAGGAUGAUCCUUCAGUUCAGCUCACGCUGACUAUCGGAUCGUUUUAGAAACAUCAGUGGCCAACAAUCGUCAGGAUUGUUGAGCUGCAUUGGCGGGAUUUCGCCGUCUACGUUUCUCUUUCUUCGCGGACGAACACGCACCAGGGGCUAAAGCGCUGUGCGAUGCAUCGGCGCGAGCCGAUUGCGUGCGAGCUUAAAGUCCCUUGUGUUAGGGGCUUGUAGCUCAGUUGGUUAGAGCGCGCGCUUGAUAAGCGUGAGGUCGGAAGUUCAAGUCUUCCCAGGCCCACCACCUUGAUCGAGUGCGAGGCAUUCGUCUUCUGGUACGGGGCCAUAGCUCAGCUGGGAGAGCGCGUGCUUUGCAAGCAUGAGGUCGUCGGUUCGAUCCCGUCUGGCUCCACCAGAUGAAAUCGAAGAUCGAGGGUGCCUCGAAUAUUCGUCCGCGAAACAUCACUUCGCGCGCGCUAGUCCGGAUGGACGGCGACGUGCGUGAUAUCUGACAUCGUAAAGAGGAGAUCGAUCCGAGUUUGGGAUCUGCAGAGCAAUUUGCGGAAUCUCAUUCCUAAUCUCCAGAUCAUUUCGGCGCUCGCUCAUCGCAAGAUGAUCGGGUUGUAAAUGAUCUUUGUAGCGAAGCUUGACCGCCUCGCUAUCGGGUUGAUCUUACGAAGCAAGCUGGUCUUUCUAAUCAGUGUCCGGCCGCAACAUAGCAUUCAUCGAGGGUGCGCGUUUUGAGGUUUCGAUCUCAAGACAAUUGUGCGGACAACAUUCUGCCGAGUGUGUGGACAUUGAUAAUGAGAGCAAUCAAGUGCCUUAAGGGUGUUCGGUGGAUGCCUUGGCGCUGAGAGGCGAUGAAGGACGUGCUACGCUGCGAUAAGCCG